GAUGAACGCUGGCGGCGUGCCUAAUACAUGCAAGUCGAGCGAACGGACGAGAAGCUUGCUUCUCUGAUGUUAGCGGCGGACGGGUGAGUAACACGUGGAUAACCUACCUAUAAGACUGGGAUAACUUCGGGAAACCGGAGCUAAUACCGGAUAAUAUUUUGAACCGCAUGGUUCAAAAGUGAAAGACGGUCUUGCUGUCACUUAUAGAUGGAUCCGCGCUGCAUUAGCUAGUUGGUAAGGUAACGGCUUACCAAGGCAACGAUGCAUAGCCGACCUGAGAGGGUGAUCGGCCACACUGGAACUAAGACACGGUCCAGACUCCUACGGGAGGCAGCAGUAGGGAAUCUUCCGCAAUGGGCGAAAGCCUGACGGAGCAACGCCGCGUGAGUGAUGAAGGUCUUCGGAUCGUAAAACCCUGUUAUUAGGGAAGAACAUAUGUGUAAGUAACUGUGCACAUCUUGACGGUACCUAAUCAGAAAGCCACGGCUAACUACGUG
rnacentral:rRNA from 1 species